UUUAUAAGUCGUCCCCAUUUUCGUAGUCUAACUGAGCCCCUCAUAGGUUUAAAAUCUACCCACCUAAUUCUAUCGAUUUCAAACGGUAAGUCAAUUUAUUAUAAUGAAUGGUCGGUAGCAGGGCUUUCCAACUUAUCGUUAAUUUUUGCUUAUAUGUUAAACUUUAAAUUCUUUUGAUCAAACCUAAACUCAUUUUUCUUUUUUUUUUUUUUUAAUUUUCAAUGAGUCUUGAAAUAAUUCACACCUCGCCUCGUUAUCUCCUAACUCGUUGUUUUAUGAAUUCACUCUCUUACAAAUGAUUUUCCCUCUUUCUUUUAUCAUUUAUGGCAUGUCUUGAGUAAAUUCGUAAUUCAUAUCUCUCAAUCUCAUUCUAAUUAAUGAAAGGGUCUUAUAUUUUUAACCAGAAAUGGGUUAGUUUGAAAUUUAUGAAUUAACACAAAAUCCAACUGGUUAGCAACACAAACAGAGAAAGAUCGAAUCGCAUUCGAUUUUUUGGACAUAAACAUGGAAUAUAAACAAUAGUAAUCGAACUGAUUAAGAUAUGAUUAAUAUCCACUAUAUGGUUGUAAGUUUCAUGUUUUUUUUUAAGAAACAAAACCGUUUGACUCACAUCUUUAUCAUCAAUUCAUGCAACAUGAACUUCAAAAAAAAAAAUGAAAAAUCGUAUAUUCCUAAACCAAGCAAACAUGAAUUUAUUCUUUAAUCAAAUUAGUUUUAACGCAUGAAAACAUUUAACAUUAGAAAGAAAAUAAAAUAAAUAAUCAUUCUAAAAAUGCAUUCUAUUUCUACAUCAUGAACUUAAAUCUGGACAUGGCAAAAACUAAAACAUAUAUAUAGAAAAAAAAAUAAUAAAUAAACAUGUAGUUGUAUAAGUGCGAACAAACAUGAGAUUGCCGACUUCAAUUUCCAGGGACAGGUUAAUAAUUCACACAUAAAGAUAGUUCUAUAUUAUCUUUAGGAUCUAAUACUAGGAAAAAGUAUUGUCUUCUCCACUAAAAGUAAUUAACAACAGUUC
rnacentral:lncRNA from 1 species